CCUACGGGUGGCAGCAGUGAGGAAUAUUGGUCAAUGGACGAGAGUCUGAACCAGCCAAGUAGCGUGAAGGAUGACUGCCCUAUGGGUUGUAAACUUCUUUUAUAUGGGAAUAAAAUGUUCCACGUGUGGGAUUUUGUAUGUACCCUAUGAAUAAGGAUCGGCUAACUCCGUGCCAGCAGCCGCGGUAAUACGGAGGAUCCGAGCGUUAUCCGGAUUUAUUGGGUUUAAAGGGAGCGUAGGUGGAUUGUUAAGUCAGUUGUGAAAGUUUGCGGCGCAACCGUAAAAUUGCAGUUGAAACUGGCAGUCUGGAGUACAGUAGAGGUGGGCGGAAUUCGUGGUGUAGCGGUGAAAUGCUUAGAUAUCACGAAGAACUCCGAUUGCGAAGGCAGCUCACUGGACUGCAACUGACACUGAGGCUCGAAAGUGUGGGUAUCAAACAGGAUUAGAUACCCCAGUAGUC
rnacentral:rRNA from 1 species